CCUGUAGCUCAGUUGGAUUAGAGUGCUUGGCUACGAACCAAGAGGUCGGAGGUUCGAAUCCUUCCAGGC
rnacentral:tRNA from 1 species